rnacentral:rRNA from 1 species
AGUGAACGCUGGCGGCAGGCCUAAUACAUGCAAGUCGAACGGCAGCACAGCAGAGCUUGCUCUGUGGGUGGCGAGUGGCGGACGGGUGAGGAAUACAUGGGAAUCUGCCCAGUCGUGGGGGAUAACGUAGGGAAACUUACGCUAAUACCGCAUGCGCCUUCGGGGAAAGCCGGGGACCUUUCGGGCCUGGCGCGAUUGGAUGAGCCCAUGUCGGAUUAGCUAGUUGGCGGGGUAAUGGCCCACCAAGGCGACGAUCCGUAGCUGGUCUGAGAGGAUGAUCAGCCACACUGGAACUGAGACACGGUCCAGACUCCUACGGGAGGCAGCAGUAGGGAAU